rnacentral:rRNA from 1 species
AUUGAACGCUGGCGGCAGGCCUAACACAUGCCAGUCGAGCGGAUGAAGGGAGCUUGCUCCUGGAUUCAGCGGCGGACGGGUGAGUAAUGCCUAGGAAUCUGCCUGGUAGUGGGGGAUAACGUCCGGAAACGGGCGCUAAUACCGCAUACGUCCUGAGGGAGAAAGUGGGGGAUCUUCGGACCUCACGCUAUCAGAUGAGCCUAGGUCGGAUUAGCUAGUUGGUGGGGUAAAGGCCUACCAAGGCGACGAUCCGUAACUGGUCUGGGAGGAUGAUCAGUCACAAUGGAACUGAGACACGGUCCAGACUCCUACGGGAGGCAGCAGUGGGGAAUAUUGGACAAUGGGCGAAAGCCUGAUCCAGCCAUGCCGCGUGUGUGAAGAAGGUCUUCGGAUUGUAAAGCACUUUAAGUUGGGAGGAAGGGCAGUAAGUUAAUACCUUGCUGUUUUGACGUUACCAACAGAAUAAGCACCGGCUAACCUCGUG